CCCUUUGGGCCUGGCUACUCAACUCUCUCCCUCACACCCCCUUCUCCACCUUCGGCCGCCGCCGCGGCCAGGCCGGCGUGGCGGCGCGCCACCAGCACCUCCCACCACAUCACCACCUUGCGCCAUCCACCAGCGCCACCAUCUUCUUCUCCUUCCCCGAAUCCACCAUCAUCCAUCCACACCGCGGCCACCAGCACCACAGCGCUUCCCCGCACCUCGCGCCCCUGCUGCUCUUCUUCUUCUCCUACGCCUUGCUGCUGCUCCUUCUUCCCUCGCCUUGUUGCUGCUCCUCCACUUCUCAACUCGAACCAGCUGCUCCUCUUCCCUGCUGUUCUUCUUCCCUCGCCUUGCUGCUGCUUCUCUCCUCACGCCCCCUACUGCUGCUCCCUUCCCUACCUUGCUGAUGUUGCUCUCUUUCUCCCUCUCUAUCUUCUCUGAAUUUUCUGUAAUAGGAGAUGUGUAAUGCUUUGUAAUAUUCAGAUUUUAAGAGUGCUGGCAACCUGUAGCUUGUUCUGUUUGGUAGUUGUAAUAUAUAAUGCUUGACUUGUAUUUCUGAAGGCUGUGAGAAUUAAUUGUCCUAGAAAUCUUGCUUUGUGAUUGAGUAAUCUGCUAGUAUAAUUGUGUGUUCACCUUGUUUAGUAGUCCCUGUGCUAGUUAACUUUGCACGUGUUUGAUUUUCAGUCCUUGUGUUAGCUCCAACACGUGUGAUAUAUAUAUAUAUACAUGUGUGUGUGCCUGUGAUGUGAUAUGUUCAUGUUCUGUCCUAAAACCUUGUUUCUUCCUCCAUGUUAUAUAUAUGAUCAUGCCCUUUUUUUUAAUUCCCUAGCCGUUUGAUGAUUGCUUGUGUUAGCAUUUUAUAUUUCUCAUGUAAAACGAAAAUACCAAAAAUAUAAUUGAAGAUAAUCUGAACCUCCUUUGCCCUUUUUGCAUUUUCUUUGGUGAUGAUCUUUGGGUACAACCUUGUUUUGUGUAGGUUUAUUUUCUUGCAUUCAUAAUCUGAAUUGUGUUACCUAGCUUUAGCCAAGCACGAUUAUCGAUUUGCCUAGUCCCUGAGGAGAACACGACACUCGUAGUUUGGGGCGUAAAAACCCCGCUAUACUUUCAAUUGAUCAUUUUGGCGCCGUUGCCGGGGCUUGCGUCGUGUGACUGUGUUAGGCUACAGACUAGGUUUUUCUUCUUUUUCUAGUUUGUGCCAUAUAUUUGUGAUAUAUCUCUAACCACUAACCCCUAUUCUAGUUAGUAUCUUUUUUUUUGUUUUCUUUUCCUUUUUGCAGGUUAGAACUAUCUUCUCGAUUAUGGCUUACUAUUCAGAUCAUCAGGCUUAUGCGAGCAACACUACAAACAGCAUGGAAAGUAUUCAAGAACUGAUAAGUAAGAUUUCCUAUCAAUUAGAUGAUUUAGCUCAGCAGCGAGGAGUAGUUUUUGAGGAUAGGCCUAGUUCUUAUUAUCCUUAUUCCGGAGGCAAUCCUUAUGUUGCUCCUACAUGCCAUAUUUGUGGAUUUCAGGGCCAUUCGCCCGCUGAAUGUCAGCGUGGUUACUCUCACACUCUAGAUUGUUUUGGCAUGAGCUUCGCUCAAGAGCAUAGCUCAUACCAAAACAAUUACUCACAUGGGUGGCCUGAAAACCCGAAUAUGUCAUAUAGGAGCAACACCCCUGAGAUCUCACCGUUUGCCUCUAGUUAUCCAAUGCAGGGAUUUAGGUAUGAAGAGGAGAGCCACAACUAUGCUCCACAACAGUCUUAUUCAGCUCCUAUUCAUAUACCUCAGCACCAGGAGAUGUUGCCAAUGGAGUUAAAUGGUCCUCCAUUUGGUCAACCAACACCUCAAGUGCCUACUCAAGAUGAGUUCGAUGACAUAGACAAGCUCGCACUUUUGAGUCUCGAGUUCACUUGGAGUGCCGAGGAUGAUCCUAUUAGGAAGGUUAUACUAGAUGAAAUGAAGAAGAUCAAGAGUGGGAAUGAGCUAGUGGAAGAAGUAAAGAAGAUUGAGAAGACCAUCAACGCUGGCAGUACUAUUUCUUCACAACUUGAGCUGAGUAAUUCUGGGAUUCCCCUUGAUACAUGUGAGGUUCCAAUACCGUCACAUCCAGCUGAGCAAGAUAGCAAGUGCCUUGAGAAUGAGAUACCUCAUAUUGAAGAAGAUGAACUAGAAGACAAGGAACAAGAUGAUCAAGAGCUGCAAUUCCCAAGUGAUCAAGUUGAAGACUCGUCAUCUACUACUCCUGAAGAAGUACAAGAAGCUGCUGUAGAUGAAGAUGAAGAACCUGAGAUUCAUUGGCCUAUUGUCAUACAUGAGCGUGAUGUGUCAGGUUUACCCAAUCCUCUUGAUGACAUGCUCCCUUGUGAUUUCUUUGCUUCUAACUUGCAUUGCAUGAUGCCAUCACUUAAGGUAGACUUGAAAAACUAUUUGCUUGGACAUGAUCAUACACACCCUAUUAGUGGCAUUACUCUCAUUUGUGAUGAUCACAGUUACUUUCGUCGUGCCAGUUCUAUGCUUAAUGAAACAUAUCAUUCCCAUGCUAGUCUGGAGCUUAAUGAUACAUAUCAUCCUCAUGUUAGCAUUGAGCUUACUGAUUUCUACCAUCCUAAACAUGUGCUUUAUAGCUAUGCUUAUGUAAUUGGAUAUUCGAUUGAUGACUUGGAGGGUAUUAUCCCUACCACUUGCAUUGUCUCUUUCGUUGAGUGCUCUUUCAGGUUCUUGCUUGUGCACGAUCCACUACAUGCUGACCAAGUUCGAGAUGACAUUCCCUGGGACCCUGGUGGACCUAUGGCAUGGGGAUGAGGAGAAGCAAGGAGCACACAUGAAGAGAGAAGCUGGAGCAGGCAUGAGGAUAGAGAAGCAAAAAGAGAAGAGUUGCAUUUCAGAGAGUGAUUGUGCGAGACCUACAUCAUAUAAGCCCGGUGAGCUGUUUCAUGACCCAUUCUGAGUAUAUCAUCCACUGAUACAUGCUGAAAUCAAAUGUUAUUUGGGUUGCUUAAGCCAUGUCUUAAAUGUUGCCCCACUGAAUUUUAUUUGACAUAUGGUGCUUGAUGAGAAUAUGUGAACUGAUUGUUGAAUGCCAUGUAAACUAGUGAUCUACAUAUUGCUUGCUUUGCUGAAAUUAGUGAAAGUUAUUAGUUUUGAGUGCUCAAAUCCCUAGUACACUAGAAAACUUAAUCAUUUUCUGCUUUUACCUCGAUACACCUAGAUCAUUAAGUGUCAGAUGCUGAGUUUGUGCCUAAUGUGUUCCCAUUGAGAGCAAUCACCUAACCACUAUGGAUUAGCAUGCUAUGUUCCCUGGAUCGGUAGCAUGUGAACCAGACAUGGAGAAGUGAUGAUUCCUAUUUUUGUGCUUAUGCGUUGUUCAUUUAAGAUAAGUAAUAAUGAAUAAAUAAGUCUGACUACCUACAGUAGCAUGUCAUGUUCCCGGGAUCGGUGGCAUGUGAAAUCGGGUUAGCUUGGGCAAUAAUUAAUAAUAAAAAAAUGUAAUUGUCGAACCAGGUGUAUACCAUGUUCUCGGGAUCGGUGGUAUGUUCCUUUGGGGAGACAAACAAAAAAACUAAUAAUUGGUCGAUCCAGGUGUAUACCAUGUUCUCGGGAUUGGUGGUAUGUUCCUUUGGUGAGAUCGAUAAAACUUUAUCAUUGCCUUACUUCUGUAAAUAAGUGAUUUGAUCACAAGUUUAUGUUCUUUUUUUUGCUCGGGAUCAUGCUCUCUUUUGGAACCUUUGGCACAAUCAUCAUUUGAACUUGUUGAUCCACUUUUAUCAUUGUAAAAGUUUAAAAUGAUUGAGUCUACUAGUAUCCUAUUGCUUUGUAGCACUCUUGACCAUUCAUUUGCACUAGCUAAGUCCAAAGCAUGCAUUGUUUAGAGAUCUACUUCACUUGGCAUUCUCUAGUCAGCUCACUAUUCACUAUCUUGCUCUUGUCAUAUGCCUUUACUUGAGGACAAGUAAAGAUUUAAGUGUGGGGGAACUUGAUAAGUGCAUUUCAUAUAUAUUAUUGGCACUCAAAUUUAGCAUCUAUCGUGAUAUAUCCAUCCAUUCUUGCUAUGAAUUGUGAUAUAUUUGAAUGAAAAUCAUAUAAAAGAUCAUUUACUCGUUACUUGUUUCUUUUGCAGAAAAGUGCGAUGAGGCACUAUAAUCGUGAAGAGUCCAUCCAUAUGGCUAUUGAGAAGAGAGAAGGGCAGGAAAGAAGUGAAGAAAGGGACAUGAGCAUCAAGGAAAGAAGAAACCGGGGGCCAAAACUUAAGAUGGAGGGGAUCUACUUGGGAAGAAAGAAGGAAAGGAGAAGGGCCAAAUCAGAAAAGUGGCAGACUAGAGGAGGGGUCAAAAUCCCUAGCAGCAGCCCCGAUCCCCUUUGGGCCUGGCUACUCAACUCUCUCCCUCACACCCCCUUCUCCACCUCCGGCCGCCGCCGCGGCCAGGCCGGCGUGGCGGCGCGCCACCAACACCUCCCACCACAUCACCACCUUGCGCCAUCCACCAGCACCACCAUCUUCUUCUCCUUCCCCGAAUCCACCAUCAUCCAUCCACACCGCGGCCACCAGCACCACAGCGCUUCCCCACACCUCGCGCCCCUGCUGCUCUUCUUCUUCUCCUACGCCUUGCUGCUGCUCCUUCUUCCCUCGCCUUGCUGCUGCUCCUCCACUUCUCAACUCGAACCAACUGCUCCUCUUCCCUGCUGUUCUUCUUCCCUCGCCUUGCUGCUGCUUCUCUCCUCACGCCCCCUACUGCUGCUCCCUUCCCUACCUUGCUGCUGCUGCUCUCUUUCUCCCUCUCUAUCUUCUCUGAAUUUUCUGUAAUAGGAGAUGUGUAAUGCUUUGUAAUAUUCAGAUUUUAAGAGUGCCGGCAACCUGUAGCUUGUUCUGUUUGGUAGUUGUAAUAUAUAAUGCUUGACUUGUAUUUCUGAAGGCUGUGAGAAUUAAUUGUCCAAGAAAUCUUGCUCUGUGAUUGAGUAAUCUGCUAGUAUAAUUGUGUGUUCACCUUGUUUACUAGUCCCUGUGCUAGUUAACUUUGCA
rnacentral:lncRNA from 1 species